rnacentral:lncRNA from 1 species
GCCUUACAUGGCCCCAGUGAUCUGAUUUAAAAUACACCAAAAUGCACUCACAGAAAAAAAAUGAUUCAGGCUGAAAGAGAAACUUUUGUGAUUAUAGCAAAUGCCCUCAAGCAAAAAAAAAAAAGAAAAAAAGUUAAAAAGGUUUAUAAAUGGAAAAGCAAGAAAAAGAAAAAAAGAUGAAUAAAGUCAUACUAAGGGAAGAAAGAUUCUUCAAGGAAGUGCAGUAUAUGUUGGAAACAUGUUAGAGAUUUAAACUAGAAACAAUACUAAGUACACUGAAAGCCGCAGGAGUCAUCAUAGACUUUUGUUUUGCGAAGGAUAUUAAUGGACAUGGAUUCAAAUCUUCACACCAACACAGACUCCUUUUCCAGCAUCCAUGAAAGAACAAGGAAUCCAUGAACCCCAGGAGCAGUCCUCAACCAAAGAAAACUUCUUUCCUCAGGUGUUAUGGAUCUGAAGAAUGUAGCAAGAGUCCUCAGUGGGAUAAGA